GGGGCUGUAGCUCAGUGGUAGAGCACCCGCCUCGCAUGUGUGAGGCACUGGGUUGGAUCCUCAGCACCACA
rnacentral:tRNA from 1 species